GACGAACGCUGGCGGCGUGCCUAAUACAUGCAAGUAGAACGCUGAAGAGAGGAGCUUGCUCUUCUUGGAUGAGUUGCGAACGGGUGAGUAACGCGUAGGUAACCUGCCUGGUAGCGGGGGAUAACUAUUGGAAACGAUAGCUAAUACCGCAUAAAAUUGAUUAUUGCAUGAUAAUUAAUUGAAAGAUGCAACUGCAUCACUACCAGAUGGACCUGCGUUGUAUUAGCUAGUUGGUGAGGUAACGGCUCACCAAGGCGACGAUACAUAGCCGACCUGAGAGGGGAAGGGGCCACCGGGGGACGGGGACCGGCCCCAGACCCCAGGGGGGGGAGGAGGGAGGGAAUCUGGGGCAAUGGGGGGACCCCUGACCGGGCAACGCGGGGGGAGGAAAGAGGGUUUGGGGAUCAAAAAGCUUGGUUGAAGGAGAAGAAGGGGUGGGGGAGGGAAAAGUUCACAUGGUGACGGUUUCUAACAAGAAAGGGACGGCAAACUACGUC
rnacentral:rRNA from 1 species